UACGUAGGGGGCAAGCGUUGUCCGGAUUUACUGGGCGUAAAGAGCGCGCAGGCGGUCGUACAAGUCGCGUGUGAAAGCCCCCGGCUCAACUGGGGAGGGUCACGCGAUACUGUUCGACUCGAAGGCAGGAGAGGGAAGCGGAAUUCCCGGUGUAGUGGUGAAAUGCGUAGAUAUCUGGAGGAACACCGGUGGCGAAGGCGGCAUCCUGGACCAAUACUGACACUGAGGAGCGAAAGCCAGGGGAGCAAACGGG
rnacentral:rRNA from 1 species